rnacentral:rRNA from 1 species
GACGAAGGGGGCUAGCGUUGUUCGGAAUUACUGGGCGUAAAGAGCGCGCAGGCGGUCACUCAAGUCAGAUGUGAAAUAUCCGGGCUUAACCCGGAGGGGUCAUUUGAAACUGAGUAACUAGAGUACAGCAGAGGAUAGCGGAAUUCCCGGUGUAGUGGUGAAAUGCGUAGAUAUCGAGAGGAACACCAGUGGCGAAGGCGGCUAUCUGGGCUGAAACUGACGCUGAGGCGCGAAGGCUAGGGGAGCAAACAGG